AGCGGAGGAAAAGAAACUAACAAGGAUUCCCCUAGUAACGGCGAGUGAAGCGGGAUGAGCUCAAAUUUUAAAUCUGGUGUCCUUCGGGCAUCCGAAUUGUAAUCUCGAGAAGUGUUUUCCGCGUUGGCCUGUGUACAAGUCCCUUGGAAUAGGGCGUCAUAGAGGGUGAGAAUCCCGUGCUUGAUACAGACCCCAAUGCUAUGUGAUACACUCUCAAUGAGUCGAGUUGUUUGGGAAUGCAGCUCAAAAUGGGUGGUAAAUUCCAUCUAAAGCUAAAUAUAGGCGAGAGACCGAUAGCGAACAAGUACCGUGAGGGAAAGAUGAAAAGCACUUUGGAAAGAGAGUUAAACAGUACGUGAAAUUGUUAAAAGGGAAACGAUUGAAGUCAGUCAUGCUUUUCUGGAUUCAGCUUGUUCUACAAGUGUACUUCCAGUCUUGCAGGCCAGCAUCAGUUUUGUUUGGUGGAAAAAGUUUAGAGGAACGUGGCAACCCCGGUUGUGUUAUAGCCUCUAUUCGCAUACAUCAGAUGGGACUGAGGAACGCAGUGCGCCUUUAUGGCCGGUCUUCGGACACGUACGCACUUAGGAUGCUGGCAUAAUGGCUUUAAACGACCCGUCU
rnacentral:rRNA from 1 species